rnacentral:snoRNA from 1 species
AAUCUGUGCAUCAGACAUUUUUUAAUUAAGUCUUUAAAUCGUUCCCAAGCUUCAUAUAAUGUUUCAUCUUCCAAUUGCUAAAAGAUGUGAUGUCAUUUCUAAGCUU